UUUUUUUUUUUUUUUUUUUGUGUACCUAUUAGUUUUGUCUGUACCAACCCAUGUUAUUUUCUUCCAGAUUUACUUGGUUUAAUUUCCCAAAGUAUAAACUAACUAGUAGUCUAAUUUAAACUACCACAACUCUGAGCAGGCAGUUACUAAUGAUGGAUGAAUGAACAUUGUAAAUGCACUUUGUUACUGUUCAUGUUAAUGAGCAUGGUCUUUAUUUGUCCCACAGGCUUUAUAUCUGUAUUUAUGUCCGUUUAACAUUAUCUGUCCUCUCCAAAUACUGUAUUCAUAUUUGAUUAUAUACCGAAUAAGAAUUUUCAAAAUAUCUCACACUUUAUGUAGAGCUGUCAAGUGCUGCUUUAUACAUUCUUAUAAAUAAGAAAAAUAAUAAAUAUUAUAAAAUAUUUGAGUUAUAGCAAAAAAAAAAAUAACGCUACAAUACAUUAAAAGUUUAAUACAUCUUGAGUUCAAGAAAAUACAAAAUUGGAAAAAGUAUAGUGCUCAAUUUAUCUGUUAAGCAUAAUAUGCAAGCUAAGUUUCCUGGACAUGUUAUGUACACUACAUUGUACUGUAUUAACAAUUAAUAACGUAAAGUGCAAUUUUCAUUAAUGAUUAUAAUAAUAUGUACAGUAUAAUGCCUUUAAAAUGUUUCAUAACAUAGAUAUGGUGGAUAUAGAUAUGGAUAUAAAUAUGGCCUUCAUAGAAAGUGUUACUGAUAUGUACUCAUUACUUAAAAUAUUAGAGACUUGGCAUAAGUUAUUGGACAGGUCUCCUAUUUUUAUUUUUAUUUUUAAAUACUUGAAGUGUGCUGUGUUAGUUUUUUUCAAUGAUCCAAAAAAGUGUAUGGUAAAGACCUGGAUGAAGGGAUGCUCGGUUGGACUUGAUUUGGUUAGCUUUGCUCUAUAAGGAGGUGUGUUCAAGUCACGUGAAUGUAACUAUUGUCAUAUUAUUGUUUUACUAUGAGCAAAAGAUCUGACAUUGCAAAGAACUUGCACACGGGCUGUCAUCCCUGACUCGGAUUAUGCAUAGUCUUGGACUACGAAGGAUUUCCGAUGAAGUUGCAUCUUUUACUGUGCAAGUUAGUUCAAGACAAGGCUUAAUCCUUGUCUUAAAGGAUGCCCGCACAGAGUUUUAAGAAUCAUCUUGCAAAAGAAAAAAAAAAACUGUGGAUAUUUAUUUUCAGCGCUUUCAUGUUAUACAAAAUGCUUUGGCUUUAUUUAAGGAAGAAAAUAUAAUUGCAGAGAGAUCUAUUAUUAAGUGUUGUACUAAAUGCAAAUUAGUAUGCGAAGUAUGUGUUGGAAAAGAUCAGAGAGCUGUGAGCGUGUGUUGUGUAUGCGUGUGUGUGUCUGUGUAAUGUCAGAAUUAGACUUUAGCUUUACAUUUCCUAGUUUACAGACAUUAAUUUAAAGCAAAUGUCACUUAAGUCAAUGAUUCUCAUUAUAUGUAGUUCAAGGUAUGUGAUUACUGAAUAAUCUUUUAUCAUUGCCUCAUUAUGAUUGUGUCUUUGUUCCGUGUUCAUCAUUAUAAAGAAAGUAAGUGGAUGUUAACACUGUUACAACAGACAAAAUGUAUGAAGGAGAAUAGAAUAUCUGCAGUGUACUAUAUGCCUCUUAUUUGAAAGUUGUAUAUAUUCCUUUGAAAUAGCUUCUUUUGCUGCUAUUUAAAAAAAAAAUCUGAUUAUUUUUGUUAGUUUCAUUUUCUAAGAAAUGUACAUAACAUCUGUAAAUAUGCACAAGCCUUCAAAUGUAGACUUAUUCAGGAACACUGUAUUGAACGCACCUUUAAAGAAUCACUGAA
ensembl:lncRNA